AUGUUAGAUAAAUGUAUGUCGCUCGCUGUUAUCUGUAGUGUGCAGUGCAAUUUGUCCCAAAAAGUACAAGAAAAAUUUAUGUGUUUUAUGUUAAAUGGCAUUACAAGAAGCUCCAACUCUCAAACUGCAUUCAAAAACCGCAUAACGAGAGACGGUUGACUGCUUAUCCCUUGAAAAAGGUCCAAUACACGGGACCGAAACGUCGGGCUAUGCCAAACUAGCCGUUUCAAUGCUCUUAGACUGAGAAAGCCACAACAGUUCAACAUUUCCUCCCAGUCGUAUACCUCCUCCAAAUA